rnacentral:rRNA from 1 species
GAAGGCUGAAAUUCGCCUACAUGAAGUUGGAAUCGCUAGUAAUCGCGGAUCAGCAUGCCGCGGUGAAUACGUUCCCGGGCCUUGUACACACCGCCCGUCACACCAUGAGAGUCGGGAACACCCGAAGUCCGUAGCCUGACCGCAAGGGGGGCGCGGCCGAAGGUGGGUUCGAUAAUUGGGGUGAAGUCGUAACAAGGUACC